rnacentral:lncRNA from 1 species
AGUUUUUCACUUCUUCAUGGGGUUAGCAUUGAAUUUUUGGCAAGGAAAGAGAUAAACUGGAAUAGGAAAUCUAGGGUAGCCUUCUGGGGGACUGACAGUAGUGGCAUCGUUCAGCCUGGUACUGUUCAGUAUCUGCUUAUCUGAGCAGAUUGCCAUGAUUUCUUCAUCCCAGGAGUUACCUUAUCACAUGUGUUAAUAACUUCAUUUAUUACCAGUUGAUUUUUCUCUUGAAGAAAGUCUCAGAGACUUGGAGACUCUGAGAAUCCAUGUGGUAAGUAAAUGAUGCUUUUGUUUAAAUUAAUGUCCUCUUUUGGGACAAUUGAUGCUGUCAUGCUUCUCAGUAGCUUCCUACUCCUGUUUUGUGUAUAUUUCUACAUGCUACUAUACAUGCAACAGGUGCCUAACACAGGCUUUCUAAAGAAACCCACUUGCAGAUUUCUAAUAGACUCUGCUCAAAUAGAGAUUGUAUUGGCUCCUCAAUACAUUACAGAUUUUUAAUGUGCUUUUUAUCUAUAUGUAUGCAUAUGCACUCUGCCUGUGCAAUGAUUAUGGAGGCCAGAAAGAGUGUGUCAGAUUCUCUAGAAAUGGUUAUAGAUGUAAGUUGGUGGGAACUGAACCUGUAUAUUCUGCAAGAGCAAACUUGUAGAAUGAUAAUUUUACAUCACAAUAGCUUAAUACCUACAAGAGGGUCACAAAAGCUACUGUACAGCAUUUCUGGGUGAACCAUCUCACCUCCAAUAAUUCUGUUAUAUAGCCACAGUUCACUGUCACAACUUCUGACACAUGCUGUUAACUUGAGAGGAAUUUGCCAGCUGUCUACGUUUUUGUUUUGCGUGUUUGCCAUAAAGAUUGAUAAUGAUUUAUCCCUUGCUGAUUUGUGUUACCAACUUCCCAGUCAGCAAACAAAAUUCUCCUUGCAGGACCACAUAAUUCCCUUAUGAGAAACUGAAUUUGAAAAAGAGAAACAACUUUGAAAGGACACACUAAAGUUUAUAUUAAAUCACAUUCGCAGAUUUUGACAUGGUACAAAUUCCCAAAUCUUGUUUAAAAUUCAACAAUAAGAAAAUAAUUGUUAUCAACACAACCACUUUUAGACCCAGGAUUAUAGAUAUCUGAAAUUAAAAAACAUCUAUUUUUACUUUGUUUACCAAGCCAUGCACAUCAAAAUGUCCAUGAACCCUUGCUUUUUCAGUUAAUCCAAUAAGAAGCUGUUGUCAACUGAGUAGUGAUUCCUCUUUGAUAUGUGCUCAUCUGGAACUCCUAACAAAUGUGGGUGUGUGGAGGGCCUUACUUUCACAAUGAGACAGCUGGGGAAGGCAUAGCCUGAGCUUUCUCUGUUGAUGGUGUUGCUCAGGCAUUUUAGUAGUCUUUGCUGGUUGCCAUUUCUACCCCAGACAUACCAUUGUCACUUGGGGAAGGUGACAGUGCUCUGAGGUUACUUUGCAUUGUUCUGUUUGGUGACUGUGCAUGGGUUUGUCUGUUGUUGGAGCCAGCAGGGAGGAGGACACAGACUCUGUUGGGUUUGUCUAGUUUUAUUCACUCCAGAGAGAAAGGAGAUGGUAGCCCAGAAAAAUCCCACUCUUCUCGAACCUGGAGAGACUUCCUGCAUCUUAUAGGGGUGGCAGGUGCAAAGAUCAGAUAUUUUGAACUUAAGAUCUGUGACAGCAGUGGUUCUCAACCUUCCUAAUGCUGGAACUCUUUAAUACAGUUCCUCAUACGCUGAUGACUCUCAACCACAAAAGCACUUCAUUGCUACUUUAUAACUGUAAUGUUGUUACUAUUAUGAGUUGUUAUGAAUUUUCUGACAGUCUUAGGCAACCCCUGUGAAAGUGUCAUUUGACCUCUAAAGGCGUCACAACUCACAGGUUGAGAACCACUGUGUUACAGUAUUCUGGAUGAUGGAGGUGAGUGGAGACAGAAUAUCCAAACAAAAGCAUCCUCCAGUAACAUUCCUUCCCAUUGAGUGAUCCCUGGCUGAGUGGACACGAGGCACCACAGUGGCUGCGACUAUGGGGAGUCUCAGUCUGUUUCCAUGGUGGGUUCAGGGCAUCAUUGUCUCCUCUCAGAAGCCACAGGCAGAGGUAAAUCCAUACAGUCAGCAUGACUGCAUGGUCUCUGCAACAGGGAGACGACACUCUCCUCUUUCUGCUCCAUGAGCCAUGGGGGCAGAGCUCCCAUCACAGUUACACUUUAAAGUUGUGCUAAAUGGACAUAAACACACUUGGUUACAUUUUAAAGAGAAAGCACUCUCUG